UACAGAGGGGGCAAGCGUUGUUCGGAAUUACUGGGCGUAAAGGGCGCGUAGGCGGCCUGUUAAGUCGGACGUGAAAGCCCCAGGCUUAACCUGGGAACGGCGUCCGAUACUGGGCGGCUUGGAUUCGGGAGAGGGAUGUGGAAUUCCAGGUGUAGCGGUGAAAUGCGUAGAUAUCAGGAGGAACACCGGUGGCGAAGGCGGGUCUCUGGGCAGUAACUGACGCUGAGGAGCGAAGGCGUGGGGAGCGAACAGG
rnacentral:rRNA from 1 species